CUUUCACAAUCUCUUAAAAAGAAAAUAAAAAAGAAAAAGGCUCUCAUUCAUAAUGUCAUGUCUAUAUAUACUUACUUUAUAUUAUAAAAGCUUAAUAAUAUUCCCCUUGCCUCGUUCAAAUUUGGUAUAUUAAACUUUUAUGGAUAUGAAGCUGAGAAUAUCUUGUAUUGUGAUCUUCCUUUUGCUCUUUGUUGAACUGUAUCCAG
rnacentral:lncRNA from 1 species